CGGAGUCAAACGCGUUUAACCCUUCCCUUCUCCUUCAAGGUCACCCAAGUUGAGGUUCACGUAGAAGGUAGCAACGUCAACGAAAGCGAAUCUUAAACGAACCUAACCUACAUGGAUGAAAAAUAUUGGACAAAAUGUAAACAUUGCUCGGAUCUUGUCCCCUGGAGCUUGGAGGACUUUUGGUGUAGAUGAUGUUCAGGGCCUACCAAAGCAAGGUUUCUCAAACAACUGUGGGGUGUUUGUUUUGAUGGUAAGAUGCUAUUCAGUAUAUUAUAUUUGUCCUAUUUUCUGUUAUAACAUAUGAAAAGUUAUUAUUUCUGUGCUUGCAGCAUGUAAAGCACACUAUUGUUAUUGCUCAUACUUUUUCUUCUUUAUUAUUCUUGACAGUUCUUGGGACCUGUUUCCUACAGUUUUUACGUUACAUACACAAUUCAUACAUCAAACUCCUGCAGAGCUGGAUGCUGAUGUGACAUGCUGUGACUUCUUGGGGGCGGAGUCUUCUACAUCCUGAAAUAUAUUCCUGGGGGAUGUCUUCUACAUCCUGAACUAUAUUCCUGUGGGGGGUGUCUUCUACAUCCUGAAAUAUAUUCCUGGGGGAUGUCUUCUACAUCCUGAAAUAUAUUCCUGGGGGGGAUGUCUUCUACAUCCUGAAAUAUAUUCCUUUGGGGGAUGUCUUCUACAUCCUGAAAUAUAUUCCUGUGGGGGGUGUCUUCUACAUCCUGAAAUAUAUUCCUGGGGGAUGUCUUCUACAUCCUGAAAUAUAUUCCUGUGGGGGAUGUCUUCUACAUCCUGAAAUAUAUUCCUGUGGGGGAUGUCUUCUACAUAUAUAUAUAUAUUCCUGGGGGAUGUCUUCUACAUCCUGAAAUAUAUUCCUGUGGGGGGUGUCUUCUACAUAUAUAUAUAUAUUUCAGAAUGAUGUAAAAGAGUUCCCCCCAUGAAGUCACAGCAUGUCACAUCAGCAUCCAGCUCUGCAGGAUCAGGUACUGUAUAGGCUAUUAGCUAAAGUAAGGUGCAUUCUUGUACACACAUCCCUAGAGGUUCCCUCACAUUACUUAAUGACCACAAUCUGUUUUCUUUCUAAACGAUACCGGAAAAAAAUACACGGCGAACUGGGAGCUGUGAACUGGGAAGCAGAUUUUCUUCUAAGUGACACCCUAGAGGCAGCAAGGUGAUGUGAACUCCAAACAUUUAAAGGCACUGUUCCCCUCCCUAGUGUAAUUGGGAUGGACGGGGAAGACCACAUUACAACCCUUAAAGAACUACAGUUGUAUGAUGGCCUGGAUGACGAGACAAAGGUUCUCCUCAAGGAACCAUUCAUGUUCCAGAGAGAUUAUGAGAUGUUCUAUGUGGAGGCAGUUGACAACAAGAAAAUGACUCUCUGCCUCUUUAGAGGAGCAGGAGUGAAGUGGUCAAAUCUUAUUUUGUCUGCUGUGUUAAUUGUUUCAAUUGUUAAUUGUGUUAUGUUUAGUAAAGAUGACGUAGAAGUCACCCGAGUCUCUGAUCUCUUCACUGGAGCUGGUAUAACUUCAUGUACAAAGCACAUUCAGCUUGUCAGUAUGUCUAUAUGGUAUAGUCUGUCUCCAUUCUCAUGAGGAAAG